rnacentral:rRNA from 1 species
UACAGAGGGUGCGAGCGUUAAUCGGAAUUACUGGGCGUAAAGCGUGCGUAGACGGUCAAGUAAGUCGGGUGUGAAAGCCCCGGGCUCAACCUGGGAAUUGCAUUCGAGACUGCGUGGCUAGGGUGCGGAAGAGGGAAGCGGAAUUUCCGGUGUAGCGGUGAAAUGCGUAGAGAUCGGGAGGAACACCGGUGGCGAAGGCGG